rnacentral:sRNA from 1 species
ACAUAAAAUACCCAAGAAAAAUAAAAUUUAAAAAUGUAAAUACAAAAAAAAGUGAUGGAAUUCAAACAGAAAAACACGUUGUCACGUUGACAGGUCUAGAGUCACCUAGGAGGCACACUGUGGGGAAUGCCUUAUUGAAGGUGUUUCUGUGAAGACUUCACUGUGGAUGUGGACAUCUCCAUCCCAUGGGCUGGAGCUCUAGACUGAGUACAAAGAUGCAGCAAGCUCAGAGCUGGCGCUCAUCUCUUGUUCCUCUUUUCUUCCUGUUGCCAUGAUGCUGUUCACCCUCAAGUUGGGAGCCCCAAGCCCUCUCCCCUUUAGGCUGCCUUUAGCACAGAAGUGAAGAAGUAACUAACUCCUAUGACGUUAGCAAAGAGGUCAGGAAGUCUGACAGGCGGGAAGCCAGACGACGGAGCCUUUGUUCUGUUUCCUCUCUGGAGGCAGGGGCUCUGGUCCUGAGCCGGCCUUUGACCUGGCUCUGUAGCCCAGGCUAGGCUUAAGCAGCAAGGAGCACAUUUGUAGUCAGGGUCAAGACAAAGAGGCCCUAGAACAAGUCCUAGUUCUACAUAACUUACAGAAGAGGAGGAGACCCAGGCCUCCAUGGGCACCCAGUUUUCCCAGCAAGGACGGCACUCAAGACAGGAAAGAUGCCUUCGAGCAAAGCUCUGACACUUGUUUUGUGCAUUCUGGUGGAGAUGGGGCCUGGGUCUUCUUCUCUUUAAACCCAGGAUUCAUGACUGCCUGGCCAACCAAUCGUGGAGGAAGUGAGGCACUGCCAUAUUUCAGGCCCACAGUUCUAGGAGUCAGUAGUUUCCAUUCGUUUCUUCCUGGUGUCACUCUUAGAACCUGAACAGGGUUAAUUUUCCAGGACACAAUUUCUCUGUAUAGCCCAGGCUGUCCUGAAACUCAAUCUGCAGAUCAGGCUGGCCUAGACACACACACACACACACACACACACACAUACACACACACACACACACACAAAUAAUAAAAAAUAAAAUAACCAUUAAGAUAAAAUGAGGGCCCUAGGACAAAGUCCUAGUCCCAAGUCAGUCCCACCAAUUUACAUUUCCUUCAAAGGAGCCCAGCAUUCCUCUUAUGUCUGUAUUAUGCAGCUCAAUCCCUCACACUUCCUCUUCAAGAUUGCUGCAAAUAUCCCCCUAGCCAAUGACUGGCAACCACACCCGCUCAUGGCCCUUUCCUGCUGACAGCCCAUCCGGUGCCUUUAAGAGAAUGUUAGCACUCCUGAGCAGUGAGUCCAGAGUUCCUUAUGGUUCCACAGAGAGACUGCUGCUCCCUUGGGUCACGUGUGUCCUCUUGCCUACCUUGACGACUCCCAAGUGCCGUCUCUCAUGCCCUUUCAUUACCUCCCAUCCAGGGGCUCAGCCUUGACUACCACUCUCCCCACCUCUUCUCAUUUGCACGGAUACUGAACGAACCUGCUACCACACGUAUCACAGCAGCCGUCACAGUUUGACUGCCCUUCCUGUCAUCUCAAGUCAACUGUAAGUCCCCAUAAGAUGGAGGCUGUGGUCUUUCCUCAUGUGCCCCUGGCACUAGGAAGACCUUAGACAUACAAUAGCUAUUUGUGAAAUAAAUGAAAAGGCAGAUGGGGAGCUGGUACGGGAGGUUGAAUCUGUGAGGGGGUGGGAAGGAAAACACAGAAAGCAGAGCAGGCAGGAGCCUCAGAAUGAAGAGCUGCACAUAAGCAAACGUCGUGUGUGUGCGGUGUGCGCACCAUAAUCCGCUGCAGGUCUGGCACGUGCUGACGCUCAAUAGACUCUAACUUUUUGUUACUGUGACCAAAGUACCAGACAGAAACAACUUAAAGGGGGUGUUUGCUUUAGCUCAGAGUUUUUGAGGGCUCAGUCCACCAUGAUGAGGGGAGAGUGGUGGAGCAGGGCAGCUCCAGCAUAACAGUCAGGAAGCAAAGGGAAAUGCUGGCCUUCAACGAGGUUCGCCUUUUUCCUCUUUGAUUUUCAGCAGGGCCUAAGCGCACGGGGAUGUACUAUAGGUGCACAGUCAGCAUGGUCUUCUAACCUUCCGCUCUGGAAAUGCCUCCACAGACACACUCAGGGAACAAGAAGAGGAGGUCCUCUCUCAACACCCGUAUUCAAGCUUGUGUUCCAAUCAGAGUAAGUAGGCAAGAAGAAUAAAAGCAUAAGGGCCGAAAAGGAAGAAAGAAAACUUUUAUUAUGGCAUGAUCCUGUAAGUAGAAUCCUAGGGAAUCCUGGGACAACAGAUAUUAAAACUCCUACUAGCCCUGCAAAACAUGUUCAGUAAGUCCAAA